rnacentral:rRNA from 1 species
CAAUAGCGUAUAUUAAAGUUGUUGCAGUUAAAAAGCUCGUAGUUGAAUUUUUGCUUGCCGCCGAUGUCGGAACUUCCGUACGUUCGGCGGCGUGCAUCCUUGGGUGGAACCUGUGUGGCAUUAGGUUGUCGUGCAGGGGAUGCUCAUCGUUUACUGUGAAAAAAUUAGAGUGUUCAAAGCAGGCUUAUGCCGUUGAAUAUAUUAGCAUGGAAUAAUAAGAUAGGACCUUGGUACUAUUUUGUUGGUUUGCGCACCGAGGUAAUGAUUAACAGGGACAGUUGGGGGUAUUCGUAUUCCAUUGUCAGAGGUGAAAUUCUUGGAUUUUUGGAAGACGAACUACUGCGAAAGCAUUUACCAAGGAUGUUUUCAUUAA